GAGGUUAAGCCAAUCCCAUAAAACCAUUCUCAGUUCGGAUUGCAGGCUGCAACUCGCCUGCAUGAAGCCGGAAUCGCUAGUAAUCGCGGAUCAGCAUGCCGCGGUGAAUACGUUCCCGGGCCUUGUACACACCGCCCGUCACACCACGAGAGUUUGUAACACCCGAAGUCGGUGGGGUAACCGUAAGGAGCCAGCCGCCUAAGGUGGGACAGAUGAUUGGGGUGAAGUCGUAACAAGGUAGCCGUAUCGGAAGGUGCGGCUGGAUCACCUCCUUUCUAAGGAA
rnacentral:rRNA from 1 species